rnacentral:rRNA from 1 species
GAUGAACGCUGGCGGCGUGCUUAACACAUGCAAGUCGAACGGAAAGGCCGAAGCUUGCUUCGGUACUCGAGUGGCGAACGGGUGAGUAACACGUGGGUGAUCUGCCCCGUACUUCGGGAUAAGCUUGGGAAACUGGGUCUAAUACCGGAUAUGACGAUCUCUUGGAUGGGGUUGUGGAAAGCUUUUGCGGUAUGGGAUGAGCUCGCGGCCUAUCAGCUUGUUGGUGGGGUAAUGGCCUACCAAGGCGUCGACGGGUAGCCGGCCUGGGAGGGUGUACGGCCACAUUGGGACGGAGAUACGGCCCAGACUCCGACGGGGGGCAGCAGUGGGGAAUAUUGCACAAUGGGCGCAGGCCUGAUGCAGCGACGCCGCGUGGGGGAUGACGGCCUUCGGGUUGUAAACUCCUUUCGCAAUCGACGAAGCCUUUUGGUGACGGUAGGUUGAGAAGAAGCACCGGCUAACUACGUG